rnacentral:misc_RNA from 1 species
GAUGAAGAACGCAGCGAAAUGCGAUAAGUAAUGUGAAUUGCAGAAUUCAGUAAAUCAUCGAAUCUUUGAACGCACAUUGCGCCCGCCAGUAUUCUGGCGAGCAUGCCUGUUCGAGCGUCAUUUCAACCAUCAAGCCCCAGGCUUGUGUUGGAGCCCUGCGGCUGCCGCAGCCUCCCAAAACCAGUGGCGGGCUCGCUAUCACACCGAGUGCAGUAGUUUACUCUUCGCUCAGGGCGUGUGGCGGGUGCUAGCCGUGAAACCCCCAACUUCUCAAGGUUGACCUCGGAUCAGGUAGGAAUACCCGCUGAACUUAAGCAUAUCAAUAAGCGGAGGA